rnacentral:rRNA from 1 species
GAUAAACGCUGGCGGCGUGCCUAAUACAUGCAAGUCGAGCGAACGGACGAGAAGCUUGCUUCUCUGAUGUUAGCGGCGGACGGGUGAGUAACACGUGGAUAACCUACCUAUAAGACUGGGAUAACUUCGGGAAACCGGAGCUAAUACCGGAUAAUAUUUUGAACCGCAUGGUUCAAAAGUGAAAGACGGUCUUGCUGUCACUUAUAGAUGGAUCCGCGCUGCAUUAGCUAGUUGGUAAGGUAACGGCUUACCAAGGCAACGAUGCAUAGCCGACCUGAGAGGGUGAUCGGCCACACUGGAACUGAGACACGGUCCAGACUCCUACGGGAGGCAGCAGUAGGGAAUCUUCCGCAAUGGGCGAAAGCCUGACGGAGCAACUCCGCGUGAGUGAUGAAGGUCUUCGGAUCGUAAAACUCUGUUAUUAGGGAAGAACAUAUGUGUAAGUAACUGUGCACAUCUUGACGGUACCUAAUCAGAAAGCCACGGCUAACUACGUGCCAGCAGCCGCGGUAAUACGUAGGUGGCAAGCGUUAUCCGGAAUUAUUGGGCGUAAAGCGCGCGUAGGCGGUUUUUUAAGUCUGAUGUGAAAGCCCACGGCUCAACCGUGGAGGGUCAUUGGAAACUGGAAAACUUGAGUGCAGAAGAGGAAAGUGGAAUUCCAUGUGUAGCGGUGAAAUGCGCAGAGAUAUGGAGGAACACCAGUGGCGAAGGCGACUUUCUGGUCUGUAACUGACGCUGAUGUGCGAAAGCGUGGGGAUCAAACAGGAUUAGAUACCCUGGUAGUCCACGCCGUAAACGAUGAGUGCUAAGUGUUAGGGGGUUUCCCGCCCCUUAGUGCUGCAGCUAACGCAUUAAGCACUCCGCCUGGGGAGUACGACCGCAAGGUUGAAACUCAAAGGAAUUGACGGGGACCCGCACAAGCGGUGGAGCAUGUGGUUUAAUUCUAAGCAACGCGAAGAACCUUACCAAAUCUUGACAUCCUUUGACAACUCUAGAGAUAGAGCCUUCCCCUUCGGGGGACAAAGUGACAGGUGGUGCAUGGUUGUCGUCAGCUCGUGUCGUGAGAUGUUGGGUUAAGUCCCGCAACGAGCGCAACCCUUAAGCUUAGUUGCCAUCAUUAAGUUGGGCACUCUAAGUUGACUGCCGGUGACAAACCGGAGGAAGGUGGGGAUGACGUCAAAUCAUCAUGCCCCUUAUGAUUUGGGCUACACACGUGCUACAAUGGACAAUACAAAGGGCAGCGAAACCGCGAGGUCAAGCAAAUCCCAUACAGUUGUUCUCAGUUCGGAUUGUAGUCUGCAACUCGACUACAUGAAGCUGGAAUCGCUAGUAAUCGUAGAUCAGCAUGCUACGGUGAAUACGUUCCCGGGUCU